UGCCAGCUGGGGUUCCUGGUGAUGUGAUUUUAUUUUGGUGUUCAGAAUCACAUUGCCAGGGAUUUCCAACCAUCA
rnacentral:pre_miRNA from 11 species